rnacentral:rRNA from 1 species
AUUGAACGCUGGCGGCAGGCUUAACACAUGCAAGUCGAGCGAGCGGCGGACGGGUGAGUAAUGUCUGGGAAACUGCCUGAUGGAGGGGGAUAACUACUGGAAACGGUAGCUAAUACCGCAUACCAUCGGAUGUUCCCAUAUGGGAUUAGCUAGUAGGUGGGGUAAAGGCUCACCUAGGCGACGAUCCCUAGCUGGUCUGAGAGGAUGACCAGCCACACUGGGACUGAGACACGUACCAGACUCCUACGGGAGGCAGCAGUUGGGAAUAUUGCACAAUGGGGGCAAGCCUGAUGCAGCCAUGCGGCGUGUAGGAAGAAGGCCUUCGGGUUGUAAAGUACUUUCGGCGGGGAGGCGUUACCCGCAGAAGAAGCACCGGCUAACUCCGUGCCAGCAGCCGCGGUAAUAC